AGGAAUAUUGGUCAAUGGACGAGAGUCUGAACCAGCCAAGUAGCGUGAAGGAUGACUGCCCUAUGGGUUGUAAACUUCUUUUAUACGGGAAUAAAGUGAGGCACGUGUGCCUUUUUGUAUGUACCGUAUGAAUAAGGAUCGGCUAACUCCGUGCCAGCAGCCGCGGUAAUACGGAGGAUCCGAGCGUUAUCCGGAUUUAUUGGGUUUAAAGGGAGCGUAGGCGGGUUGUUAAGUCAGUUGUGAAAGUUUGCGGCUCAACCGUAAAAUUGCAGUUGAUACUGGCGACCUUGAGUGCAACAGAGGUAGGCGGAAUUCGUGGUGUAGCGGUGAAAUGCUUAGAUAUCACGAAGAACUCCGAUUGCGAAGGCAGCUUACUGGAUUGUAACUGACGCUGAUGCUCGAAAGUGUGGGUAUCAAACAGGAUUAGAUACCCUGGUAGUCCACACAGUAAACGAUGAAUACUCGCUGUUGGCGAUAUACGGUCAGCGGCCAAGCGAAAGCAUUAAGUAUUCCACCUGGGGAGUACGCCGGCAACGGUGAAACUCAAAGGAAUUGACGGGGGCCCGCACAAGCGGAGGAACAUGUGGUUUAAUUCGAUGAUACGCGAGGAACCUUACCCGGGCUUAAAUUGCAACUGACUGAACCGGAAACGGUUCUUUCUUCGGACAGUUGUGAAGGUGCUGCAUGGUUGUCGUCAGCUCGUGCCGUGAGGUGUCGGCUUAAGUGCCAUAACGAGCGCAACCCUUAUCGAUAGUUACUAGCAGGUCAUGCUGAGGACUCUAUUGAGACUGCCGUCGUAAGAUGUGAGGAAGGUGGGGAUGACGUCAAAUCAGCACGGCCCUUACGUCCGGGGCUACACACGUGUUACAAUGGGGGGUACAGAAGGCAGCUACACGGCGACGUGGUGCUAAUCCCGAAAGCCUCUCUCAGUUCGGAUUGGAGUCUGCAACCCGACUCCAUGAAGCUGGAUUCGCUAGUAAUCGCGCAUCAGCCACGGCGCGGUGAAUACGUUCCCG
rnacentral:rRNA from 1 species